GACAGAGGGUGCAAACGUUGCUCGGAAUCACUGGGCGUAAAGGGCGUGUAGGCGGGAAUGUAAGUCGGGCGUGAAAUCCCUAGGCUCAACCUAGGAACUGCACUCGAAACUGCGUUUCUUGAGUAUCGGAGAGGAAAGCGGAAUACCUGGUGUAGAGGUGAAAUUCGUAGAUAUCAGGUGGAACACCAGUGGCGAAGGCGGCUUUCUGGACGAUAACUGACGCUGAGACGCGAAAGCGUGGGGAGCAAACAGG
rnacentral:rRNA from 2 species